rnacentral:rRNA from 1 species
GACAGAGGUCUCGAGCGUUAGGCGGAAUCACUGGGCUUAAAGCGUGUGUAGGUGGAUGCCUAAGUACCUUGUGAAAUCCCACGGCUUAACCGUGGAACUGCUUGGUAUACUGGGUGUCUUGAGCCAGCUAGGGGCUACCGGAACAAAUGGUGGAGCGGUGAAAUGCGUAGAUAUCAUUUGGAACGCCAAAGGUGAAAACAGCUCGCUGGGGCCGCGCUGACGCUGAGACACGAAAGCCAGGGGAGCGAACGGG